AAAAUAAAGCUUGCUGGGCACCAAGACCAUUGUGUGCCAGCUAAGAGACCAAAAGCAGAAAGCAGACAUGUUUUCCAGGUCAUUGAGCCAGGAGUCUCCUCUCAGUACCAGGGGAUGGGCAUACGCCAUGUCGAUGGAGAAAAGACAGCACCCGUGUGGAAGUACCCGAGUCAUGUGCAUUUGAGGAAAGGCCUCAUUCUAGCUGCGAUAAUGAAGAAAAGAAAACGGCAGAUGGAUGUGAGCACCAAGCUCUUGAGACAAGCUUUUUCACAUGGAAAAACCCCUGGAUGGCCGCCACGCUACCCAAUAAGUCCAUGUGCCACACUACACAGCAAUAGAGAACAAACAAGUCAGCAUUAAAAUCCAGGAAGCAUUUCGUAAGGGAGUGAAUCUCAUCAACACAAGUGCCAUGUCUUGUGAAUCAACUUUAUACGCAAGGUGCUUUCUGAUGGGGACUUCCAUGCUGAUUCAUUCUGUGUCUAGCUCGAAUGUCCCUCUGAUAUGGCCCUGUCUGUCAGGAUCACCUUCGGACCCUCGGUGUCCUCCUUCAGUAACGGGAACAAAUGCAAAACUGUGCAUCAAGGCAGUUCUGUUCAAGCCACCAAAAGCGUGGAGGAUGGUGGAUGGGGUCUGAUGUUGGCAGAAGCUGAUGUCUUCUCUUCACAGCUAGGUGAAUCUGAACUCUACUUUCUUGAAAUCUCAUCUUUUCAUAUUUAAAAUCUACAGAAUAGUAUUCACAUCAAAGGCCAUACGGAAAUCUAAAGCAAAUGCAUUCUGCAUAGUUAGUACUAGGUCAGUGUUCCCUAGUUAAUAGAAAUAGUAGGAUUAUAGCCUAAAUUUAGACCUCAUACACUAAUGGCGGCUCAUCUGAACCCAAUUCUCGUAGUUGUAAAGAUAUGCAAGGGAGAUUUUUAUAACAAUUCUCAAAGUACCAUCUGCAGCAAACCAAUAGUUGAGAAAAG
rnacentral:lncRNA from 1 species